rnacentral:rRNA from 1 species
UACGUAGGGUGCAAGCGUUGUCCGGAAUUAUUGGGCGUAAAGAGCUCGUAGGCGGUCUGUUGCGUCGGCUGUGAAAACCCGGGGCUCAACCCCGGGCCUGCAGCCGAUACGGGCAGACUAGAGUUCGGCAGGGGAGACUGGAAUUCCUGGUGUAGCGGUGAAAUGCGCAGAUAUCAGGAGGAACACCGGUGGCGAAGGCGGGGUCUCUGGGCCGAUACUGACGCUGAGGAGCGAAAGCGUGGGGAGCGAACAGG